ensembl:ncRNA F27D9.10 ncRNA
AAAAUCGAAAAGUCAUAGACAGUACAAGCCGAGAGGAUAGAGGAGGUAAAAGCAAAAUAGGUCAGGGUGAC